AACGAACGCUGGCGGCAUGCCUAACACAUGCAAGUCGAACGAGACCUCCGGGUCUAGUGGCGCACGGGUGCGUAACGCGUGGGAACCUGCACUUAGGUUCGGAAUAACUCCCCGAAAGGGGUGCUAAUACAGGAUAAUGUCUUCGGACCAAAGAUUUAUCGCCUUUGGAUGGGCCCGCGUUGGAUUAGCUAGUUGGUAGGGUAAAAGCCUACCAAGGCGACGAUCCAUAGCUGGUCUGAGAGGAUGAUCAGCCACACUGGGACUGAGACACGGCCCAGACUCCUACGGGAGGCAGCAGUGGGGAAUAUUGGACAAUGGGCGAAGGCCUGAUCCAGCAAUGCCGCGUGAGUGAUGAAGGCCUUAGGGUUGUAAAGCUCUUUUACCCGGGAUGAUAAUGACAGUACCGGGAGAAUAAGCUCCGGCUAACUCCGUG
rnacentral:rRNA from 1 species